CUGCCCUUGAUCCCCUCGACCGCGCUCUCCUCGAUCCCCUCGGACGUACAAUCUCGUCGUCGCCGACCUAUGGGAUCGCCGCCGCCGAGCCGAGGUACGGGAUCGUCUCCAUCACGUUCCUUCCCUGACCGCCCCUCCCUGGAUCCACCCCUCGUGAUGCGGCUGCUCUCUCCCUCUUACCGCGAUGUGGCGUCGCCCCCAUCUGUCGCUCCGCCGCCGCCGCCUCCCUCCCCUUGCUUCCCUAUCUCCCUCUUAGCCACCUCCACCCCCACCCUUCCUCUCCAUUGUCGGAUCCGGUUACAGAUCGCCAUGGUUAGGCGAUGGAGCUCCAUGUCCAUGGCGCACGCGUGCUCAUCAAGAAAGCGGCUCCCGGAUCUUGAUCGCGCGGCCGUGACAGAGGGGAUCGAGGUGGCUGCCGCCUCUGCUGAAGACCAAGCCCCCACCUUGUCCAGAAUCACUUCCUCCGCCGUGUUCCACCAAGGAAGGAGGGGGCGGCUCAAAGUCUCCCUCGCUGCCGGCUCCAGAUGCAGCCGUCACCAUGGGUGAGCGCCUCAUACACGACCAGUUUUGAUGGAUUCGUGGCCACAUGCACGUCUAGUGACAAAGCAGUCGGACAUGACGAGGCUCACGCAGCGUCUCGAUCCUGAAGCCAAGCGUUUGUUUGUUUUCCUCCAGGUGUGCACUAAAUUAAUACUAUCCCCGAGUGAAGGUGACGUUUCCAGUAAGAGAAUUGACAAUGCUGAUAGUGACGUGAUAUUUCAUAGCGUUGUCGAUGUCAGGUAUGUCGCAAAUUUCUCUCUUUUUACUUAGCCAACUUAUUUUACUACCUGGGGUGUUAUGAAAUUUUGUUUCUAAAACAUAUUGUGUGGUGUUUCGUUCUGGAGUGUUUGUACGGAAAUGGCAUGGUAUUAUAGUAUUUCGGCGGCGUGGCUACUUCGUCGUCAAAGAACACUCCGACACCAUUUUCCGCUGGCAUGUUCCAUUGAAUGUCAUUGCUUUUAUCAUGGCAUCCAACACUUGCAGAUGUGACUCAAAAGGGGGUUCUGAAGCUGAUGAACUUGGAUGGCCUGACAGUCUACCAUACCACCAACCAUCUCCAAGUACACGAACUUGAAAACUUUCUAAGAUUCGUACACACCUUCAGGAGAAGUUUGGAUCUUUUUAGAUAAUUAUUGCAACCAUCUGUCUGAAUGAGCAUAAAAACAACGCUAUGAGGUAAUGCAAGCAUGAGGGUGCCUCUUUCCACAAUAUGCGAACAUAUGGGAUACUCGAGGCUUUUUGUUGUUUUUCAAUCUAAGGCACGUGAAACUUUACUGUCGUUAUUUUACAUACCAAUAUCAUUGCUUCCUCCAAUUUCAAUUGAUUUUCAUUUCUUGAUUCAUGUGUGUAUAGUACAAAGAGGAGAUAAAAGGAGUAUUGGAAAGCUUAAAACCAUCCCCCCAAAACCACUCUGCCUGGAGAAAGAAGACAAUAUUUGGCAUGAUCUGUUUCAUCUACUAUAGGUCAUUUGGUAUUUUAUUGUGCACACACUAUAUUUUCAUGUAAGAAUAAUCUAGAGGGAAGGGGAGCCUUGGCGCAGUGGUAAAGCUGCUGCCUUGUGACCAUGAGGUCACGGGUUCAAGUCCUGGAAACAGCCCAAAGUGGUCGGACCCUUCCCCGACCCUGCGCAAGCGGGAGCUACAUGCACCGGGCUGCCCUUUUUUAAGAAUAAUCUAGAGGCUUGUUCUCUUAGGCAUAUAUCAAGCAAGCUUCUGAUGGAGAAGAAAGAAGCAAUUCUUCUCUUCAAUUCAAACAAUUGAUUUGUUAAGUUGUUUUCAGUUUGAGGUGUCAAAAUGAGAACUUCGAGGAUCAAGACCUUUGAACUGAAACCAAAAUUAAGAUAUAACACGACUCCGGGACACAUAGAGUAGCUAACUAGAUGUAUGGUAUUUCCAGAAAAGAACAAUAGAAUAAAAUAGGACACCAGAAAAAUCCAGUAGGGAACCUGAUGGGCUACCCUCUUCGGUAAAAACUUGCUUCAUGCCAUUGUAUAAUCUAUUGGGAAGUCACAGAGUCAAAAAUCGUUGUCCCGUUCUCUUCGGUAAUGAUUUUUUUUAGCUACGCCUCAACUUAACGUGUCGGUGACUCCGUUAGGACACCAGGAACAUGAUUGCAGUCCAAGAUGCCAUCUGCAACCUCAAUCCAUUGAAUGUAAUUCAGUGAAAUAUAUAUGUUCUCAUUUACCAGACUUAGCGUUCAGUUCAAUUAAAUUUGUCAGUUUACUGAUUGCUGCAUAGCUACCAUUUCUCAAAUUUACGAUGUGGUUUCUGCUGUUGAUUUCAAGUUGGCCAGAUAUAAUUAAACCUAGGUUAUUGUCAUUUUAGCAGGGGGAAAUCUUGAUUCCUAAAUGCAGUAGGUUAACUGUCAAUAAAUCUUUUAUGUAUAAUACACUGCCUGGAAUGUUGCUCUAAAUAAUUAUUAUGUAAAAUCAAGAUAUUUGUUAUUGGUUUUUCUCUUUUUAGAUAAAACAGAUAUGAUGCAUGUACAACUGUAAAUGCCAAGUUCUGAAGCUCAUAUGUUCCGUACUUCGUUUUAGUUAUGAAGCAAAUAGCUCAAGGUAUUUCACAUUGGAAGAACUUAGUCUGUGACGUACGAUGUUUUCUAAUGGCACUGAAUACUGUAUAAUUUAAGAUAUAAAUCAUUAAAAUUUCUUUUACUCAUACAUCUGACAACCAGAAUGUGUCAUGAUAAUGUAAGCAUGCAAUAUUGUACUGCCAUAUAAUCUGUCAUUACAUUUUUUUUGGAACCAUAACCAUGCAACAUUAUACUGCCAAAAUAAUAAUCUGACUAUACAUUUGAUUAUUGCUUGCAUUCAUAUAUUUUUUCACUUCCGCUUUUGUUUUAUGUCCAGUAAACAACAUCAAUCAUAGGGUAGGAAACGUUGUUGUCCGUCUGCUUUUAUUAGAUUCUUCAGAAUUACAUUUUCCAAGUUAUUUGUGACUGUUUACGAUGAGUAGAUUUCCAUUACAUGUAGUCAGUCUAACGAGUAAGAUAGAAGACUAUAUUUUCACUUUAGUUAGUCACUGCUCAUUUGAUUUUCCAUGCCUCCCAAUGCUAACCGACACAACUGCUUUCUCUGCCUAUGCUGCAUGGCUAUAAGGCACCGUGUCAUUGACGUUGAGGCCAAGGCUAUGUGCCUCGGGUGCGAUCUUGAUGAGAUCUACUCAGCCACCUUCUUAAAAGUGAAAAUACUAACGAACUAUAGUUGCACGCGAGAAUUGAUUUUAAAUUUGAAAGUUAUUAGUAUCUUUUAGUAGGGAGAUGAACUUACUUCAGGUUACAGGAUGUCGUGAUCUUUUUUCGUUUUUCCCUGAUUUCAUUCCGAAUAGCUUGCGUCUGUUUUGGUGUUGUACAUGCUGCAGUGUGGUACUUGCAACUGUUGCCAUUAUCACUUGAAAUUUUCUAUGAAUUGCUCAUCGACAGUUGAAUUCAGAUCAAGGUUCCACAAUUGUUCAUCUAACUUUCAACUUCAUAAUUUUGCAGCUCGUAGUGGAUAGGAGAUGAUGCAACCGAAGGCACACUUCAAUACUCUUUUAUUUAGUCUUCCCUUUUUCCUGUGUGUCCAAGAGAUUGUUACCAGCAUUUUUUCCAAGCAUGUAUUACCGAGUAAAUACUAGUUUUUAUUUCAGUCCUUCCCUUACCCCUCCACCGGAUUUGAUUUUUUUUUACAUUUGUGACAAAGGCAGAUGUUGACUUCCUUUACAAUGGUGCCGAGGAGAUCAAUGUUUGUUUUUGAUCUGAUUAACUUCAGAUAUUUAAACAAUAAUUAUUGCUUCCAAAUAAAAUUGAUCAUGGCGUGAUAUACAUCUAUCAACUUGCAUUUUUUUCCUUUAUGUUCCAGUAUCCAUAGAAAAGGUCACAGUACAUCACUUUCAUUUAUAUCGGACGUGCGCAACAAAACAGCUGGUUACAAUUCUGUAGAUUUUCCUGCUACCCUUUGGUUUGUAGUUAGUACCGAGUAUUAUAGUCCCUUUAGGCCUUGGAGUUGCAUAUGAUAUGGGAGCAAUAGGUUCAGUGAAAAAGUCUUAAAGCCUGGGAUGGGUUUUUUUGUAGGCUUGUGUAGUGCACAUUCUGAUGUACGAGCUAUGACUUCCUUUGUUUUUGUGAUGAAAUAGUGUGUCCAAUAUGUAUAGUUUUGAAUCAUGGCAAUUAAUCAGUUAUGGAUCAGAUGUCUUAGUAAGCUGGUUCACACUCCCUCCGUCCCGAAUGACGUGUUGAAUAAAUGGAUGUAUCUAGAUGUAUUUUUAGUUUUAUAUACAUCUAUUCAUGUCCAUUUCUGCGACAAGUAAUUCGGGAUGGAGGGAGUACUUGAUAGGGUAGUGAGAGAGGCUCUUUUGAUUAGAUCAAAUAGCUUAUUUUGCAUUGGCAUACACAAUGCGGUAUAAUUAGAACAAUCCGUGUUUACUUUAUCCCUUUCUCAGUUAUAUUUAUUUUAGAAUUAAUUUUGGCAUUGCUUGAUAGGACUAUGAUUUCUUAUAUUUUUGUUUAUGAUGCAUAUUUCUAAUUGCAGUGCAGAGGCUCCGCAAUGAGCACGCAUGCCAGCUUUUCCUUUGAGCCCGAGUCCAUUAUCUUGCCCUGUGGCACAGAAAUAUAUUUCAAGUUUCUUGGGUGCAUCUGUUAGCUGCUAAGGUGGAUUUAAUCAGGCAGCUUAUUGAUCUCAAGAACUCUUCAAUCUCAUAUGGCCGUCUCCCUUUCCAGCCAACAUAAAAAGAAAAACUCCAUGCUGGUCACAACAUCUAGAGCCACUUCUAAUCUAUGGAGCUCAAUUCUAUUUUUAUAACAAGCAUGCGAGUUUGGAUGCAAUCUUCAGAUGAAUCAAGCCUGAGAUCCAUAGGUGUCGUGGGCUAAUUAGUUGUUGAGUUGCAAAGAUGCAAAGUAUUUUGUACCUUCCAUCUGGAAAUACUUGUUGAGGAAAUGGACAAAGAUGGAUGUAUCUAGAACUAAAAUAUGUCUAGAUACAUCCAUUUCUCCGACAAUAAUUCCGGACGGAGGGAGUAUGUUUCAUGAAAGAAUAUUGACGCAAACAACUAAUUUAUGAUAAUUAUUGUAUCAUUUGGAUCCUAUAAAUGGCAUGUAUAUCAUCUUCCUUU